UUCCUACGGGAGGCAGCAGUGGGGGAUAUUGCACAAUGGGGGGAACCCUGAUGCAGCGACGCCGCGUGGGUGAAGGAGCGUUUCGGCGCGUAAAGCCCUAUCGGCAGGGAAGAAGAUGACGGUACCUGACCAAGAAGCCCCGGCUAGCUACGUGCCAGCAGCCGCGGUAAUACGUAGGGGGCAAGCGUUAUCCGGAUUUACUGGGUGUAAAGGGAGCGUAGACGGCAGCGCAAGUCUGGAGUGAAAUGCCGGGGCCCAACCCCGGAAC
rnacentral:rRNA from 1 species